UACGUAGGGCGCAAGCGUUGUCCGGAAUUAUUGGGCGUAAAGAGCUCGUAGGCGGUUUGUCGCGUCUGUCGUGAAAGCUUGGGGCUUAACCCCAAGUCUGCGGUGGAUACGGGCAGACUAGAGGCAGGUAGGGGAGAACGGAAUUCCCGGUGUAGCGGUGAAAUGCGCAGAUAUCGGGAGGAACACCGGUGGCGAAGGCGGUUCUCUGGGCAAUUCCUGACGCUGAGGCGCGAAAGCGUGGGGAGCAAACGGG
rnacentral:rRNA from 1 species